rnacentral:rRNA from 1 species
GACGUAGGGUCCAAGCGUUAUCCGGAUUUACUGGGCGUAAAGAGCGCGUAGGCGGUCUGUUAAGUGAGAAGUGAAAUCUUCAGGGCUCAACCUGAAAAUUGCUUUUCAUACUGGCAGACUUGAGGGAUGGAGAGGUAUGUGGAAUUCCUGGUGUAGCGGUGAAAUGCGUUGAUAUCAGGAGGAACACCCAUGGCGAAGGCAGCAUACUGGUCAUCAUCUGACGCUGAGGCGCGAAAGCGUGGGUAGCAAACAGG